AGUGAACGCUGGCGGUAGGCCUAACACAUGCAAGUCGAACGGCAGCACAGGAUAGCUUGCUCUCUGGGUGGCGAGUGGCGGACGGGUGAGGAAUACAUCGGAAUCUACUUUUUCGUGGGGGAUAACGUAGGGAAACUUACGCUAAUACCGCAUACGACCUACGGGUGAAAGCAGGGGAUCUUCGGACCUUGCGCGAUUGAAUGAGCCGAUGUCGGAUUAGCUAGUUGGCGGGGUAAAGGCCCACCAAGGCGACGAUCCGUAGUUGGUCUGAGAGGAUGAUCAGCCCCACUGGAACUGAGACACGGUCCAGACUCCUACGGGGGGCAGGAGUGGGGAAUAUUGGAAAAUGGGCGCAAGCCUGAUCCAGCCAUACCGCGUGGGUGAAGAAUGCCUUCGGGUUGUAAAGCCCUUUUGUUGGGAAAGAAAUCCAGCUGGUUAAUACCCGGUUGGGAUGACGGUACCCAAAGAAUAAGCACCGGCUAACUUCGUGCCAGCAGCCGCGGUAA
rnacentral:rRNA from 1 species